rnacentral:misc_RNA from 1 species
GAUGAAGAACGCAGCGAAAUGCGAUAAGUAAUGUGAAUUGCAGAAUUCAGUGAAUCAUCGAAUCUUUGAACGCACAUUGCGCCCCUUGGUAUUCCGAGGGGCAUGCCUGUUCGAGCGUCAUAUUAACCACUCCUGCUUGCGGGGUCUUGGGCUUCGCCUCCGGGCGGGCCUUAAAAUCAGUGGCGGUGCCGUCGGGCUCUACGCGUAGUAAAUUUUCUCGCGAUAGGGUCCCGGUGGAUGCUUGCCAACAACCCCCAACUUCUUAAGGUUGACCUCGGAUCAGGUAGGGAUACCCGCUGAACUUAAGCAUAUCAAUAAGCGGAGGA